GAUGAAGAACGUAGCGAAAUGCGAUAAGUAAUGCGAAUUGCAGAAUUUCCGUGAGUCAUCGAAUCUUUGAACGCACAUUGCGCCCACUGGUAUUCCGGUGGGCAUGCCUGUUCGAGCGUCAUUAUCCUCCCUCAAACCCCGGGUUUGGUGUUGGACCCAAGUUGUGUGAACAACUGGUCUUAAAGACAAUGACGGCGUCCGUGGGACCCUCGGUGCAACGAGCUUUUAGGAGCACGCAUCGAGUUGCAAGGACCUUCCGGGCCGGUCUCCUUUACUAUUUUACAAGGUUGAUCUCGGAUCAGGUAGGAAUACCCGCUGAACUUAAGCAUAUCAAUAAGCGGAGGA
rnacentral:misc_RNA from 1 species